rnacentral:rRNA from 1 species
UACGUAGGGUGCAAGCGUUAAUCGGAAUUACUGGGCGUAAAGGGCUCGUAGGUGGCCAACUAAGUCAGACGUGAAAUCCCUCAGCUUAACUGGGGAACUGCGUCUGAUACUGGAUGGCUUGAGUUUGGGAGAGGGAUGCGGAAUUCCAGGUGUAGCGGUGAAAUGCGUAGAUAUCUGGAGGAACACCGGUGGCGAAGGCGGCAUCCUGGACCAACACUGACACUGAGGAGCGAAAGCCAGGGGAGCAAACGGG